AGCAGCCGCGGUAAUUCCAGCUCCAAUAGCGUAUAUUAAAGUUGUUGCAGUUAAAAAGCUCGUAGUUGAAUUUCGGGAUUUGUCAGUUGGUCGGGCUUCACUGUCCGUACUGGCUUGAUGGAUUCUUACCUUCUGAAUGACCAGCAUGCUAUUAAGUUAGUGCGUUGGGGAAGCAGAUCUAUUACCUUGAAAAAUUAGAGUGCUUAAAGCGGGCUAGUGCUUGAAUAGAUUAGCAUGGAAUAAUAAAAUAGGACGGCAUGGUUCUAUUUUGUUGGUUUCUAGGAUCACCGUAAUGAUUAAUAGGGAUAGUUGGGGGCAUUAGUAUUCAAUUGUCAGAGGUGAAAUUCUUAGAUUUAUUGAAGACUAACUUCUGCGAAAGCAUUUGCCAAGGAUGUUUUCAUUAAUCAAGAACGAAAGUUAGGGGGAUCGAAGACGAUCAGAUACCGUCGUAGUCUUAACCAUAAACUAUGCCGACUAGGAAUCGGACGAAGUUAAUUUUAUAAUGACUCGUUCGG
rnacentral:rRNA from 1 species